rnacentral:rRNA from 1 species
CAGUAGCCGCGGGAAAACGGAGGGGGCUAGCGUUGUUCGGAAUUACUGGGCGUAAAGCGCACGUAGGCGGCUUGGUAAGUUAGAGGUGAAAGCCUGGAGCUCAACUCCAGAAUUGCCUUUAAGACUGCCGAGCUAGCAGGUGAGAGAGGUAAGUGGAAUUCCGAGUGUAGAGGUGAAAUUCGUAGAUAUUCGGAGGAACACCAGUGGCGAAGGCGGCUUACUGGCUCAUACUGGACGCUGAGGUGCGAAAGCGUGGGGAGCAAACAGGAUUAGAUACCCGUGUAGUCCCUGUCUCUUAUAC